rnacentral:rRNA from 16 species
GUUUCGACCUGCACGAAUGGCGUAACGAUGGGGGCGCUGUCUCUACCCGAGACUCAGUGAAAUUGAAAUCGCCGUGAAGAUGCGGUGUAUCCGCGGCUAGACGGAAAGACCCCGUGAACCUUUACUAUAGCUUCACAUUGGUAUUGGGUAAAUGAUGUGUAGGAUAGGCGGGAGACUCUGAAGCUGCGUCGCUAGGCGUGGUGGAGUCGUUGGUGAAAUAC